rnacentral:rRNA from 1 species
UGGGGAAUAUUGCACAAUGGGCGCAAGCCUGAUGCAGCAACGCCGCGUGAGGGACGACGGCCUUCGGGUUGUAAACCUCUUUUAGUAGGGAAGAAGCGAAGUGUUUUACAUGGAGUGACGGUACCUGCAGAAAAAGCACCGGCUAACUACGUGCCAGCAGCCGCGGUAAUACGUAGGGUGCAAGCGUUAUCCGGAAUUAUUGGGCGUAAAGAGCUCGUAGGCGGUUUGUCGCGUCUGCUGUGAAAACUGGGGGCUCAACCCCCAGCCUGCAGUGGGUACGGGCAGACUAGAGUGCGGUAGGGGAGAUUGGAAUUCCUGGUGUAGCGGUGGAAUGCGCAGAUAUCAGGAGGAACACCAAUGGCGAAGGCAGAUCUCUGGGCCGUAACUGACGCUGAGGAGCGAAAGCAUGGGGAGCGAACA